rnacentral:rRNA from 1 species
UACGGAGGGUGCAAGCGUUAUCCGGAUUCACUGGGUUUAAAGGGUGCGUAGGUGGGUCUGUAAGUCAGUGGUGAAAUCUCCAAGCUUAACUUGGAAACUGCCGUUGAUACUAUAGACCUUGAAUGCUGUGGAGGUGAGCGGAAUAUGUCAUGUAGCGGUGAAAUGCUUAGAUAUGACAUAGAACACCGAUAGUGAAGACAGCUUACUAGGCUUAUACUGACGCUGAGGCACGAAAGUGUGGGGAUCAAACAGG